rnacentral:rRNA from 1 species
UACGUAGGGGGCAAGCGUUGUCCGGAUUUAUUGGGCGUAAAGAGCGUGUAGGCGGCUUGGUAGGUCCGCUGUGAAAACUCGAGGCUCAACCUCGAGAUGUCGGCGGAAACCACUUGGCUAGAGUCCGGAAGAGGAGAGUGGAAUUCCUGGUGUAGCGGUGAAAUGCGCAGAUAUCAGGAAGAACACCUAUGGCGAAGGCAGCUCGCUGGGACGGUACUGACGCUGAGACGCGAAAGCGUGGGGAGCAAACAGG